AGAGGUAGUAUGUAAUACUGCAA
rnacentral:miRNA from 1 species